GGAAAUGUGCCCGAGACACUAAGGAUUACUUUGAUAGAGUAAAAAACAGGGACGCAACCCCUCAUUUCCU
rnacentral:tRNA from 1 species